rnacentral:rRNA from 1 species
GACGAACGCUGGCGGCGUGCUUAACACAUGCAAGUCGAGCGGUAAGGCCCUUUCGGGGUACGACGAGCGGCGAACGGGUGAGUAACACGUGGGUGACCUGCCCUCCAGCUCUGGGAGUAAGACCUGGGAAACCGGGUACUAAUACUGGAUAUGACUCCAUGACGCAUGUUGUGGGGUGGAAAGCCUUGUGCGGCUGAGGAUGGGCCCGCGGCCUAUCAGCUUGUUGGUGGGGUGAGGCCUACCAAGGCGACGACGGGUAGCCGGCCUGAGAGGGCGACCGGCCACACUGGGACUGAGACAC